CAGUCGCCGCGGUAAUACGUAGGUGGCAAGCGUUGUCCGGAUUUAUUGGGCGUAAAGCGAGCGCAGGCGGUUCCUUAAGUCUGAUGUGAAAGCCCACGGCUCAACCGUGGAAGGUCAUUGGAAACUGGGGAACUUGAGUGCAGAAGAGGAGAGUGGAAUUCCAUGUGUAGCGGUGAAAUGCGUAGAUAUAUGGAGGAACACCAGUGGCGAAGGCGACUCUCUGGUCUGUAACUGACGCUGAGGCUCGAAAGCGUGGGGAGCAAACAGGAUUAGAUACCCCUGUAGUCCCUGUCUCUUAUAC
rnacentral:rRNA from 1 species